CGAGCUACAAGAGAAAUAAGUUACAAACAUCUUUGAGCAAGACGUUAGAUUUUUUUUUAAACUUUAUUAUUUAUUUUCAGUGUGAGUAGACUGUGCCGACGUUACGUUGUGUUCAAAUUCCACCCAGAGUCUGAAUUUAGAGCUGGCGAGACUGCACCAUCUGACUUGUGUAGUCCCAGAACUUCCCAGCCUUAAAUGUGCAUCGACACGUAACUACAGGGUGAACGUGAGUGGAAGAUAGCAUCGGUUCUCCGUCCCCCUUGCUGGAUUGAAGAUUCAACUUCAGGAGUCACGAACAACGUGCUGGUCGGCAAGGACACUCGUCAGCACGAAGUCAGCAAAGGUUCUUUUUGUCUGAUCGUGGACUUGGUGUGCGCGGGAUGCCACGCGGUUCUCGGGAUGAUCUACAGGUCGACGCCCAAGAACUUCAACUACAAGAGAUGCACCUUCUGCUUCAACGUGGCCUGCAUCGACAGGUAGCUCGCCUCAAAUUUGC